GCCUCUUCUGAUGCAAAGACUAUUCAGUUAAGCAAAGCAGAGCGGGUCAUCACUCUGGUCUGUGUGUCAGAGGCAAUCCAGGUAAGAGCAUUACGUAUUAUAUGUAUAACUUUAAAAAUAUAUUUAAUGCUUUGUCUAAAAGUUUUAAAGUAUUUCAUUGCUAUGAAACUUGUUCUUCCUAUUUUUCUAUAUGCUCUUUUUUUUUUAGAUAUUAAUGACAUUAAUUUCUCAGACUGUUCUUAACGGUUGUGAAUCCAGUCUGUUCUAGUAGAGAAUGGUUAUCAUUUAUCUCAUGCUUGGUUAUCUCCUCUCUGGUAAGCACUCACCUACAUUUAUGUAUAUAUGUCUAUAUUUUCUUGUUCUCUGUUUGUAUAUGUGCCAGUUUAGCUCUAAAUAAUUCGCUCUAUAUUCUGAUAUCGUAGCUGGUACUGACUGCCUGUGUUACUGUUGAGUUUUUGAAAUGUACCAUCACAGGGUAAACUAUGGCAGAUGGGGGAAAAGGAAAAUUGUACAUCUGGAAAUGUCAUGUCGCAGCUAAUGUGCCUGAACAUUGCCUGCCAAUAAAAUGCAAAAUGAGAUGCAUUGGAAAAAUGUUCCUGACGUUAUUUUUUUUCAUCUGUUUUUCUCAUAGAUACUUAUGCGAAAUGUGAAAACAGCACUUUGUGUAAUGGUUAGUCCUCACUUUGUUUUUAUUUGUUUUGUUUGUUUGUUUUUUAUAAAUCCUGUGAACUUGAAUAGACUGCAACUGGUAGAGAGGUGUGAUAACAGCCUAAGGUUGUGUCUGACACUAAAAUGAAAUAUAAAUUAAAUAUUGAUAAGCUUUUUUUUUCUUUGAUAAUUGUGUAUCUCUAAAAUUAAAUCUUUAAGAGUAAAGAAAGUCGACCAGAUUACGUUUAAAUUUCUUUUUUUUAAUAAUGCUGAAUGUGACAGUGUUCAUUCUUCUUCAUUUUUUUUCUCUUUAGGAGCAACAUUUAAACAAUGCACUGAAUGUAACAUUUGAGAAUACCUUUGUCUGAAGCAAUGGAUUAUAACAGAGCACACUCUAAUUACCUAACAUUAUUUAUUGUUGCUUUCCUCGCUUUUCAUGUUUACUCUGCCCAUCAGAUGAAGUGUUCAUCAGCAGCGAGCCAUCCAGCCCAAAUGAGGGUGACGACGUCACUCUCACAUGCAAUGAAAAAUGUGAAAAUUCAACUGUGACUUUUCAGUGGAAGAAAAAUAAGGCGGUCAAAGAAAAAGAAAAUAAUAAGACCUUUCUUAUCCAAAGUGCCCUUUCAAUUUCUGACAUAUACAUCUGCUCAGUAAAGUGCUCCCGUUACUGUUGUGAUUCUAAACCAUACACACUGUCUGUAAAAAACAACACUGUGAUCAUCUUGGUGGUCUGUGGUGUUGCAGCUUUGGCCCUUGUUUUGAUUAUGGGACUGAUUAUGAAGUGUAAGCUGAAAAGAGACAGUGAUAAACACAGGGAGAGGGUGAGACAGAGACAGGCUGGACAGGCUGCUGGUGGGCCAUAUCCUGUCACACCCAGAGAGUCCUAAAAAGAAAACAUUCUAUCAUAUUUUGAUAUAAUAAAUUCUGAUCUUAUGCAACAUAAUAUAUAUUUAUCUUUUUGAUAUUUCAGACUUUUGAAUGCUCACAAAUUGAAUAAAUACUCUUUAAUCUCUGUUUUUGAGUGCAUGUGUGCGUGUUUAAUCAGUUAAAGUCACACUUUUCCACAAUGUAGCGUUGCAUUUCUGUUAGUUUGCUCAGUUUAAAAAAAAAAGAACCUAGAAAUGUUUUAAUCCACACACAGGAUUGGCAUGCUCGCACUAAUCCUGCUGAAUGCUCCACUCACAGUGGCACACACUGCUCAGCUUUACAGUGGCUUGCAUGUAAUGGAUAUAUGGGAGUGUAAUGCUGUCUACUCCUAUCCAUGAGAGGGAUGAAUGUGGGAUUUGAAGAUUGACUUAUGAACAUAGUAAUAGCGUUAGGUGCCUCGAUUCAAUGUCAGGAUGCAAUGAUUUGAAGUUUAAGUGUUAAGCUCGGUCUUCAUGCUGCCAGAGUGCCUGGCAUUAGCAGUGUUUUGGGGGGGUUCCCCUCCCGGCCAUAUGGCAAAAACUUAUUUAUCCGCAUGUAUGAGUGGGUCAGGAAGGACUGUUUAUUCAGUUUCCUUCUAU
ensembl:lncRNA